UAGGCAGAUAGAAUCUUCAGAUGCCAUUGGUACCUCACAUUGUCUAUCUUCUGGGCUUUCUUACAAGCAGCCCUAUUAGGCAGAUAGAAUCUUCAGAUGCCAUUGGUACCUCACAUUGUCUAUCUUCUGGGCUUUCUUACAAGCAGCCCUAUUAGAUGAACUGUCCAACCUGCUCUCAGCCGUUACCUGAAGGAUCACUCUUCCGAGUUUUGGUCGUGGGACCUAAGGCACGGGAUGCAACA